AAAAAUAUAAAAAUUUUAAAAUUUUGAACCAACCGUUUUGUCAGAAAAAUAACACUGGUUAUAUAGCAAUUUGACAAACACCAAUUUUGAUCAUUGAGAAGCUUAAUAGUCCUUUUACAACACAGCGUAAUUAAAGCGUUUAGUUGACUUUACAGAGUUAUCUCCCUGUAGUGUUAUGUACCACCUUUUUUAAAAAACAUACAGAACAGUACAAGUCACUAACUUUUACUAUGGAUUCAGUAUUAUUUUUUUCUGCACUCAUUUAUUUUUUUAAGAAAACACAAAUUUCCUAAACACUUGCAGAAAUUGUUUAUACCACAGAUUAAAGCUAAAAGAUGAAGUUCUACUUUUUGUUUUAAUUCUCAAUCCAAGAAAUUUGAUGACACAAAAAAAAUUUAUCCACAGUAAACCAAAAGCAAAUAUAGCUUUUAAUCAAACAAUAACAUUACCUGAAAUCUUAAAAGACUGAAUUAAAUUAAAGACCAAACACCCUUUUGUUCAACCACAUCAUGAAAUAUAUAUAUAUAAAAUCUAUAAAAGGUGUUUUUUCUACAGAAAUUAUUGUGUACCAUUUUGUACAUUUCAAAUUCCAAACAUUGUUGUUUCCUUUUCUGCUAAGUGAAAAUUUUAGAUCUUAGUCAACAAAUGCAACAUGUUCUAUAUGCAAUACAUGUACCAAUGACAAUGAGACAACCCUCAAUCCAAGUCUCAAUUAAUAAAAAUAAAGAAUCAUAGGUCAAAAAUACUUAUAUAUAAAAAUUUAAAAGUUUUGGGUAUAACUUAUAAGAAUGUUUGGUCUUCAAGUCUAAUCAUUAUAUAACAGAUAUAAAAUACCACAGCACUUUUCAACAAUGCAACAAUAAUAACCCACAAAACAUCAAUGCUGUCCAUACAAUGUGAACAGCAAAAAAAUAGUAUAACUGCAAAAUUUCAACAAUAAAACUUUAGAUACACAAGACAUUUCGGAUACAAAACAUUGCAUAUACAAUCACAAUAUGCCUACAAGAUAAUACAUACAGAUUUUCUUCAUGUUGCAAGCGAAGUAUAAUUUUUCUCCCCUCAGGGUAUUAUUUUUUUUAAUUUUCAAUAUGAACUCCUCCCAACCCCUUUUUUUGGGUAGGAUUUGUCAAGUCAUUGGUUGAUUUUUCAUUGAUGAGGAUCUUGUUAGCCAAUCACAAAAUUUUGAUGAGGAUCUUGUUAGCCAAUCACAAAGUUUUGAUGUACUCUUUUGAAUAUAUUAAUGAAUUAAAUUCUGAAAUGGGGAAAUGUUUGUUGUGUGUGACAAUUUAACAUACAUGUAACUUGAUUUAUUUUCAACCAUCUUCCUCAGUCUUAAAUAAAAUUCAAUGCCUAUGGGGAAAAGCAGCAUUACUUUCACACAUUUAACUUGCAUACACAUAUCACUUUAACAAUCUCCUUAGCAGGCACACGUUGGAAGGCACAAUAAUAAUGGCAACAAUUCAUUGAUUUCAGUACUCCAUCAUUUCACACUUUCACUCUAUGUAUAUAAAUGUUUUAUCAGAAACAAUUGACAUUUAUUCAGAUUAAUGCCUUCAUAUUUUAUUCAAAAUUUUAUAUAUGCCUUAAGAAAUGCAAAACCUUACUAUACAUUAAUCCCAAAAUAAUCUUUUUUUUAAUUUUCUGAAAAAUUGAAGUCGAGUGCAUUUCUAUAGCACUACAAAGCAAUCAUGUUUCAUAUGUAUCCAAAUUAUAUACAUUAACUAUCUCCCUCGUACAAAGGUUCCCUUGUCCAAAUUUGGGUGUACUUAAGGUCCUUUUUGGUUGAUCAUCUCUUUGAUUCAACUAUUAAAUUAAGAUUUCAAAUCUUUUUAUUUUAGUAACAAACUACAUGUCUUAGAUAAAUUGAUUAAAAAUACAAUUGAUAAUGAAUUCAUCCGUGAGAUAAAGUAAUUGAGGUAUCAUUCAAAAAUAUAAUGUUGUAUUAGCCUUGAGACUAUUAAUCGUGUUUCCAACCAUGAAAAUUUCCAUUAAAGCCAGUUCCAGAAUACAUGAAAGGACAAGAGAGGCACUAGUUUAAAUCACCGGCCACCCAUUCAAUAAAAUUUUAUUUUACUUUUAAUUCAUUAUACAAUCUCAGGCCAUCCAUUCAAUAAAAUUUUAUUUUACUUUUAAUUCAUUAUACAAUCUCAGGCCACCCAUUCAAUAAAAUUUUAUUUUACUUUUAAUUCAUAAAACAUUGUUAAAAAAAGCAACUACUUACUAUUAAUUAAUUUGAUUGAUUUCUUACCCCUACUAUCAUACUAUGAUCAAUUUAGAAACUGCCCUAUUCCAAUUUAAACUAAAAUUAUGUAAAAGUUUAUAGUUUUUGUGUUUCAGACCACAAUAAAUGUGACUUUUGAUCAUCUGAGUUCCAGAUGAUAAAAGUGGACUAGUUAUCUACCAUACAUUUUUAAAGUUAAUUUAUAUAUAAACCUACAACCCUCAUUUAUGAAUUCAUAUAUUAACUGAAAUCAAAGGCUAAACAUCUCUAUUCUAGUUAUCAUUAAUAUCUGGCACAUAAGAAGGCUGCCUUUCUUCCAUAUCACAAGCUUUUAAUGUCAGCAUAGAGAAAAGGGGAAGAAAAUGUAAUAAACAAUAAGAGUUCAAUUCAAAAUGUUUGUAAGAAAAAUAACCUUAUUGUUUAAAAGACACAAAUCAAAAAAUUGGUGUUACAAUUAAAGAACCUUAGUGAGCACGCUCACAUACCCCACAUCCCCACAUUGUCAUUGGAGAAAUUAAAUAAGUAUAAGAAAAAAAAAUUGUAUAAAAAAAAAUAUUGAAUAAUAAUUUCCUGUCAAUAUACAUAGUAUGUCCUUAUUAUCUACAAAAUUUCAUGAAAUUCUGUUGUGUGUUUUCAGAGGAGUUGAGAUGACAAACUGUUGCAGAAGUACUUUGAAGCAAAUUUGUUCAAAGGGGCAUAACUCCUAGAAAAAAUAUUGAACCGUAAUUUCCUGUUGAUAUGCACAUCUACAUAGUAUGUCCUUAUUAUCUAUAACGUUUCAUGAAAUUCUGUUGUGUGGUUUGAGAGGAGUUGCGAUGACAAACUGUUGCAGUAGUACAUUAAAGUAAAUAAUUUCAAAGGGGCGUUACUCCUAGAAAAAAAAUUGAAUCGCAAUUUCCCGUCGAUAUGCACAACUACAUAGUAUGUCCUUAUUAUCUGAAAAGGUUUCGUGAAACUCUGUUGUGUGGUUUGAGAGGAGUUGCGAUGACAAACUGUUGCAGUAGUACAUUAAAGUAAAUAAGUUCAAAGGGGCGUAACUCCUAGAAAAAAAAUUGAAUCGCAAUUUCCCGUCGAUAUGCACAACUACAUAGUAUGUCCUUAUGAUCUGAAAAGGUUUCGUGAAAUUCUGUUGUGUGGUUUGAGAGGAGUUGCGAUGACAAGAAACAGGACUGACGGUUGGACUGACGGUUGGACUGACGGACAGACGGACGGACUGACGGACGGACGGGUCAAAAACAUUAUACCCUCCGCAACUUCGUUGCGUGGGGUAUAAUUAAUCCAUAGAAAAAUUUCUGUCCAUUGUAAAUAAUGUUUUCUCUUCUAUAGUAAACAUAUUAUGGUAAUAAAUAAAUCUAAUUCAAAUUAAAUU
rnacentral:lncRNA from 1 species